rnacentral:misc_RNA from 1 species
UGUGGGAGCGGGCUUGCCCGCGAUGGCGGUGUGUCGGCCGAUAUCAAUGUUGGAUGUACCGGCCUCAUCGCGGGCAAGCCCGCUCCCACA